rnacentral:rRNA from 1 species
AUUGAACGCUGGCGGCAUGCCUUACACAUGCAAGUCGAACGGCAGCACGGGAGCAAUCCUGGUGGCGAGUGGCGAACGGUGAGUAAUAUAUCGGAACGUGCCCAGUCGUGGGGGAUAACGUAGCGAAAGCUACGCUAAUACCGCAUACGAUCUAUGGAUGAAAGCGGGGGAUCGCAAGACCUCGCGCGAUUGGAGCGGCCGAUAUCAGAUUAGGUAGUUGGUGAGGUAAAGGCUCACCAAGCCGACGAUCUGUAGCUGGUCUGAGAGGACGACCAGCCACACUGGGACUGAGACACGGUCCAGACUCCUACGGGAGGCAGCAGUGGGGAAUUUUGGACAAUGGACGCAAGUCUGAUCCAGCCAUUCCGCGUGCAGGAUGAAGGCCCUCGGGUUGUAAACUGCUUUGUACGGAACGAAAAGGUUUCUAUUAAUACUAGGAGCUCAUGACGGUACCGUAAGAAUAAGCACCGGCUAACUACGUG